CCUACGGGAGGCAGCAGUGGGGAAUAUUGGGCAAUGGAGGCAACUCUGACCCAGCAAUGCCGCGUGAGUGAUGAAGGUAAUUUUAUUGUAAAGCUCUUUUCUUUGGAACGAAUAAAUGACGGUACCUGAAUAAGAAGCUCCGGCUAACUACGUGCCAGCAGCCGCGGUAAUACGUAGGGGGCAAGCGUUAUCCGGAAUUACUGGGUGUAAAGGGUGAGUAGGCGGCAUGGUAAGCCAGAUGUGAAAGCCUUGGGCUUAACCCGAGGAUUGCAUUUGGAACUAUCAAGCUAGAGGACAGGAGAGGAAAGCGGAAUUCCGAGUGUAGCGGUGGAAUGCGUAGAUAUUAGGAAGAACACCAGUGGCGAAGGCGGCUUUCUGGACUGCAACUGACGCUGAGGCACGAAAGCGUGGGGAGCGAACAGGAUUAGAUACCCGGGUAGUC
rnacentral:rRNA from 1 species